GAAAUUCACCAGUUCUUUCCCAAUUUCAAUACAAUUUCAAUAAAAUGUUUGCCCAAUACAUCUUCAUCGCCGUUCUCCUUGUCGCCGGGUUUCAAGCAACCCCCAUGACACCAGAGGAGAAGCUUUUCUUUGCAAAUAUACCGCUCGGAGGAAACCAAAAUUUUAACCUGGUUCCCUUAUCGUGCCGACUUUGGGGCAUCUUCUGUCCACCUGGUUACACCGGACCUGGCGUGGUCACAACGACCACAACGGCACGAACGAAUUCAACAACGGGUUAAUUAAUUAUAAAAUGUUUCAAUUAUAAGAUUGGCAUUCAAUCUGAAUAAAUUAAUGUGAAAAUAUUUA